rnacentral:misc_RNA from 1 species
UGAUGUUUUGUUGUUGUAACAGACGACUGCAUUGAAAUACAACAAGCUGAAUCAUCACACUUGCGGCUUGACCUAUUGUUGUAGAAACUCUAAGUUCUCAAUAGGAACGCAUUAAAUUUGAACGAGCUUACCAUAAACAAAGUUUUUUAAACUUAGUGAUUUUCGACCUCAAAUCAAGUAGGACUACCCGCUGAACUUAA